rfam:Alligator sinensis unplaced genomic scaffold scaffold560_1, whole genome shotgun sequence
UGGUUCUAUGGUAGAAUCCUUGUCUACUGUACAGGAGACCUGGGUUCAAUUCCCAG